rnacentral:rRNA from 1 species
GACGAACGCUGGCGGCGUGCUUAACACAUGCAAGUCGAACGGAAAGGCCCUGCUUUUGUGGGGUGCUCGAGUGGCGAACGGGUGAGUAACACGUGAGUAACCUGCCCUUGACUUUGGGAUAACUUCAGGAAACUGGGGCUAAUACCGGAUAGGAGCUCCUGCCGCACGGUGGGGGUUGGAAAGUUUCGGCGGUUGGGGAUGGACUCGCGGCUUAUCAGCUUGUUGGUGGGGUAGUGGCUUACCACGGCUUUGACGGGUAGCCGGCCUGAGAGGGUGACCGGCCACAUUGGGACUGAGAUACGGCCCAGACUCCUACGGGAGGCAGCAGUGGGGAAUAUUGCACAAUGGGCGGAAGCCUGAUGCAGCAACGCCGCGUGCGGGAUGACGGCCUUCGGGUUGUAAACCGCUUUCGCCUGUGACGAAGCGUGAGUGACGGUAAUGGGUAAAGAAGCACCGGCUAACUACGUG